rnacentral:lncRNA from 1 species
GAGGAGGGCGACACCGUUAUUUCCAUGGAGACGAGAAAGAGAGUGCGGUGCUGGAGGGGGGGGGCUGCGUGGAGGAGAGGUGUGUGUGUGUGUGUGUGUGUGUGUGUGUGUGUGUGUGUGUGUGUGUGUGUGUGUUGGGAUGAUAAAUGAGUCUACACCACGCUGUCAUUUGUACUUUGGCGUCCGGUCCAAAGCAGAAUUAGGUGUAAAAUAUUGCUGCGUCUGGUUCAGAUGACAAAGUUUAAUGUUGAUGUAUGAAGAGACAGAGACCAUCCCCAGCUGCUAUUGAACUGAGGGAGGUUUCUAUUCUUCUCAAAGGGCAAUUAAUUAGUGAACACACAGGGCAGGGACAAUGGAGGAGGGCGGCCAUCUUUGUUUCUUCUGUGUGUAACAACAGGACGACGGAGGAGGAGGAGGAGGAGGAGUGAUUGGUGAUGUUAGAAACUCCUGAGAGAGAGAGAGAGAGAGGAGCAGAGACUUCAUUUACAUUUACAAAGUUAGAAAACUCACCCAUCGUUCACAGAUUCAUCCUUAGAUUAGAGACGAAGGUGGUUCAUCAGGUCAGAUCGGUGUUAACCAGGAUAGAGAUUUUCACCAUCCGCCAAUUCCUGCUGUAUCCGUUGGUGAAGUGAAUUUCGUGAAAAGAAGCUGGAUGUUUUAAAAUCAAACUCUUGUGAUCAGCUGAGGAGUCCGGCGAUCCGCAGAGGAGCAGGAAGAAACGAUAAACAGAAAAACAUGGUCUUCUUCUUCUUCUGUGUUUAUGAAAAGUUUCUGUCUAACUUCAUUAUUGUUCAAAGUCAUGUAUUCGACUCCUGAAGGGACCGUUCAUCAGUUCUUCACUUUAGGAGCUGUGACUUUGUUUUAUUAAUCCUCAGUAAAUUAACUGUCAGAUUUCACUGCUGCUGAAGUUUUUACUCUGUGUCAUAAAAACUGAAGGAUUUCAGCUCUUUUAUGUUUUAUCAGGACUCAGGUCAAACUAAUUAUUCUGUUUUUUAAGCUUUAAUAAAACGUCCGUUAAAACCUGAAGACCUGAGAUCCAGUUUGAUAGGAUUCAGAACCACGUCUCUCAGUUCUCAGUCUGUUAGAUCGAUAAACAGCUGAUCACUGCAGACUCUCUCUCCUCACACUCACUCUGUCCCUCUGCUUUUCAGACACACGGACGCACACAUCUGCUCUGCUUUGACUCUGUCGUGAUUCGGUUCCUCUUUUUCCGGCUGGUGUUGCCGUGACGAUCCCAGUGUGACUGCAGACUGGGACCUUCUGCUGAGUCCAGAUCUGUGAUCCACCGACUCUCAGACCUCAGGAGACCUUUUCUCUGAGUCAUCUCCUUAAAGGGACUCGAGCGUUAACAGAAAAACCACCGUCACCACCUUCUCACCGAGUUUCCAUGAGCGUGCCCGGCAGCCGGAGCUUCAGCAGUAAAUGAAAAGUUUGCAGAUGCACAUUUACAUUAGAUGAAAUUUUAAUGAGCCCCAUGAGGGAAGAGGAUAAUAAGCCCAUAAUGUCUGAAAGUAGCUGAGCCCGAUUUUAUUCUCCUGCUAACAGCUUUAAAAACCAUCGAAUUAAGACAGAAGAAAAACAGCGUUUAGACCUGUCCGCACUCUGUAUUAUUUCCUUAUUUAUGUCUUCAUUUAGUUUUUCUUAAUUACUCUGAGAAAUAUCUUUAAAAUGGUGUCUCUGUGACGAACAGAGUAACCCAGCUCAGGAUAAUAAUGAGAAUAUCUGUUAUAAAGUUAUAAAGUUUGUUCAAAUAACCGACGUCUACGUUCAGUUUCAUUUUAGGUCUGAAUGUUUAUUUGACUUUUUUAAAACAACAUAACUGUAAUAUUUAGAUCUUUAUUACAGCUGUUAUAUUAAGUCUGUAGGGACAUAAUUCAUCUAAAGACAGUUUGAAUCAGAAUAAACAGAGACACUAACAGAAGCUCAGCCGUCUCUAACCCUAAACUCUCGUCCUCUCCUGUCCUUCAUCCACUUCUCCUCCAGCCUUCAUCGUUUUCGGUCGAACUCAGAGGUUUGUUCACGUUAAAGUGAACCAGAAAGAUCACGGGUGCCAUGACGACUCGAGACGCCCGUUUGGUCGUUAAAGCAUCGAUCCACAGUGAGCAGACGGUCAACUUUUCUGACUCCAUCUUUAAUCUCCGUCAUUUCACCAGAUUAAAAAGUUAUUCUUGGACUGUUUUUUUCCCAGCAGGCAUCUGGGUUUGUGGAGGAACCAAAACUUGAACAGUAACAACGGCUGAAUCUCCAACAGAAGGCCAUGACAGUUCACACGUUGCCGUGAGUCAAGAGUUUUCUGUGUUAAAGCUGUAGUAGGUAGUUUUUAGCAGGUAACUGCAGAGUCAGCAGCUCGACCCAAACUCCAGCAAGAUUUAAGAGAAUUUUAUUGGUAUGCAAAUGUUGGCUGAGGCCUUAAAUAAGGAUGAACUAAAGAGACGAGCCGAGUCCAGAUAGUCCUCCGGUCAUGUUUUAGUCCAUCUUCAGACAGAGACGCUGUUUUAGCUGCAGUCGAACCGGUUAGUCUCAAACACACUCAUCUCUGUUUUCUGUUGAGGAAACUGGAUUUAAAACAAAUAUCUUCUGAGAAAAACUGAUCUGGGUCAUAAAUCCAGACAAAGACUCAUUCUCAUAGAUUUGAACCUCCUUUUAAACACAGUGACCUUCCUCUGAACUCAGAGACGCUCCUGCAUUAAAGUCCAAGACUGAAAAAUAAAAACCUGUCAGUGAAAUGAAAUCCUCUCAGAGUCAAAGUUAGUAUCUACACCUGUGCUCAAGUGUCUUUUCUCAUCACUUUUCUCAUCAUCCUCAUAGUCAAACAUCAGCAGCAUCAAAUCCUCGUUAAGUUCUAUCAUCUCCACACAGAUUAUGAGGACUGGACUAACGAGCUCUCAGGUUUACAGAGGAGAGGUGACCCGGUCUGAGAGAUCUUCAGAUAAACUCGUAUCAAACAGACCGGAGAGUCUUCAGGGUAAACGCUGAGCUGCUGUUUCUGUUCAAGGACGUCUUCAGAACCUCCUCCUCCUCUGACCCAGAUCUCACUCAUGUUUCUGUGAAAGUCGGAUAUUUUAGUGUUCAAAUACUUUUAUAAUUCUGUAAUUUAUUGAGAUUUUAAACUGUUUUCAAAGUCAAACGAACAUAAAAUCUGCAGAAACGUUUUAAGACUUCAGAGCUAAUGAUGGUGAUCUUCAGAGGACAUGUGGUCGAAUAUUUGGUGCUUUUUUAACUCUUUAGUGUUUCUGAUUCAGAGCGAGUUAACCAUAAAGACAAACUCCCUCCUGAGCACAGGGGGCGCUCCUUCGCCCAUACAGGGGGCGCCAUAAUGAAGACAAACAGAAAGUUCCUCUGAUAGGUUGAUGCUGUAGUUUAAUUUUAACUGGUUAAAAUGGUUGAAAUGAGAUCUUGGACAUUUAGACCAGAUUAAAAUCUCGUUUAGAUUAAGAUUAUGAAUCGUCAAACGUCGUGUUUUAACUUGUCAGGCCUGAUUUCUCGUCUUUAGUUAACCUGGACUCUCUUCUCUCUCUUAAAGGGGCAGAAACCUCCUCCUGGUGUCGACGUGUCCGUCUUCUAAAGAGGUAAAAUAACGGAGGAUAAAGACGACGGAGCGAUCCAGUCUGGUAAAUGUCACUUUUUAAAGAUCAGAGUAAAGAGGAGGAAUUCUGCCGUCGGAGAUGAAAUGAAAAGUGUUUCACUCUUUAAGUGUUAAAGCUUCGCAGUAUUAUGGUGUCCCAUUCUCUCCCAUUAAUCUCCCAAUAUUCCAUCGCUGUGAAAACCUAUUUAUAGAGCGGAGGAUGAUUAAGUGCUGGAGCUCGGUGCCACAAAGGGACCCGGCUCAUUUUCUUUUUCUGGACUCUCUCUCUCUCUCUCUCUCCCUCUCUCUCUCUCUCUCUCUCUCUCUCUCUCUCUCUCUCUCUCUCCCCUCUGUGUCUUUAUCAUCCUUCACACCAUCCCCUCACUCUUCCUCUCAAGUACAUACAGUAUAUCUCUCACACCCCCUCCUCCACUUUACAGAGUUUAGUUGUGGGUUCAAUUACAGCGGACUCGGGGGGGUGAGGAUAAGCGGUUCAGUCCCAUUUUUUUUCGACUGAAGCGUUCGUGUUAAAAGUGUUAAUUAGGAGACGAUCUGAGGAAGAGUGACAGCCUGAACAGAAGAGGGUAAAGGUCCGACGCUGACAGGGGUCCGUUUUAGAGGGACACGUGCACGCAGAGAUCCUGCUGCUCCUCGGUGUCCUUGAGAAGAAGUAGAGCAGAGCACAUGAAAAAAGGAUCAGCUCAUUUUCAUGAAUACAGACGUGAUUAAUGGAGGAGAAGAACGGAGAGAGGAGGAGGAGGAGGAGGAGGAGGAGGAGAGGACUGACCUCAGCAGAGCCAAAGAGCAGCUCCAGAACUGUGAGAGUAUAAAUGAGAUCAGACCGUCUUCAUGUCUCCACACUGGAUCUGAUGGUCCAGGUUUCCUCUCCUGGAUCUCACUGAGUUUAUCUUCAGGGUGGAUUUGAUAGAGGAGCUUACUGCAGAUACUGAGGACUAGGCCUGAACGAUAUAUCGUUUGACUAUCGUCAUCGCGAUGUACGUGUGUGCGAUAGUCACAUCGCAGAGCCUGCGAUAUUGGAGGUGAAUGAACUCAUUUAAUUUCAAGGGUAACCGACUGAGAUACACUCCAUGUGACUCUGCAUGUGCUGUGCAGCGAUCCACCAAUCACCUUCGUCCUUAACUCAGUUGCCAAUCAGACUCACUUCUCAGUUGCCAAUCAGACUACCCUGCCAGCUGUCAAUCAAAAUCAGGGAGGAGAAAACCCACCCCUGCACAUGUUCUGCACAUGGAGGGAGACGUGUGUCCGCUGAGAAUUACUUUCGGAACUUUACUCAUGACUAUUAAGCCCAACAAAUAAGAACUGUAUGGGUUUUAAAUUGUACAUUUCCGUGGACCACUCUACUAUAAGCAGUGCGCGUUUUGCGAGGUGCAUGCAAUUCUCGGAGGACAUGCGUUUCUCGGCACAACACCGGUAACAACAACAACAACGAUCGCAAAAUGAGCAACGAACAAUAGAAAACCACCGAAAAUGAAGAUUUGUUGCCAAAAAGAAAAGGAAAGUCAGUUAUCUGGAAUUAUUUCGGUUAAAAGAAGGAUGAUGUCGACCAAAACACGUCUUCUGUGUUCAUCUGUCGCCACAAUAACGUCCCAGCACAAUAAAAGCUAAAAAUAUCUCUGAGACAGACAGAAGCCGUUCUACUAACAUUCACAAAAGAGGUAAGAUCAGAGCAGAUUAACUGUCCUCAAGAUUUCAGCAGUGCAGCAUAACAUUAAGUGCUAUUCAGGUCAUCUGGUGAAAAUACUGUAUUUUUAAUAUCGCAAUAUAUAUCGCAGGGUUGAAAAAAUCGCAAUAUUAUUUUUUUCCAAUAUCGUGCAGCCUUACUGAGGACCCUUCCUAACAAGAAUUUGUCUAUUAAAGAUUUGUAAGAGAGAGAGACGCUGAAGGAGAUUGAGACGAGUUGAAUACAUUAGAGAGAGCAGAAAGGUGUGUGUUUGAGAGAGGAGGGGGUUUAUGUAACCGUCCAACUGAGCCGAUUUUGUUUUAGUGCCUCUGAGUCGAAGAGUUUUGGACGGAGAGGAGCGUAUGUGCUUCAAUCUGCUCCAAACAAUCAGCGCCUGACAAAUUGGUCACACUGUUUAGCAUUUCUGUUUAUCUGUCCAAUAUAUUUUGGUACCACUGCAGUCUUGGCAGCUCAUGAAAACACUGGAGCUGCAGCGGCACACACACACACACACACACACACACACACACACACUCCCUCUACCUUGAGUUAUUUUUAAUAAAUCCCUAAACAGACAAUUUCAUAAUUCCCAAAUCCAGGCAGCGUCAGAUGUUGUUUGGUCUGAAGCUGAAAUGGAUCCUGUUUCUGAAGGUGUGGGUUUGAUUCCUGCUGAAUUGGGUGUAAAUGAAGGUCUGACUCUGUGGAAGUGGAACAGCAACUUUCAGUCCUCCUCACUGAAGCAGUAUGAGCCUGAAAAGCUAUUAGAGCAUGACUCCUGUGAGAUGAACAAGACAAAAGCGUUACGCCUCUACCUUUCCGGAAGGUGAGAACAAUACCGGCCUAUUUUCACUCUGACAAGCCAUAUUAGUCGUGCCAGCUUUUAGCCUGCCGGCGGCGGUGGCGGCGGCGGCGGCGGUGGCUGCUGUGUGAUAGCUGUCUGGGACAUUUUGUUUCCAGUCACAGUCGCUGAUCCCUUGAUUGAAAACAUUGAAUGCUGAGAGGGUGUUAUCCCUGUUUGGAGGUUCUGAUCCGGGUUUCUGCUGGGCCCUCUCAUCCCCCGCUGCAGCAGUUGAUCCCCCGAUCUUUGGGGGGACAGACUGGAUCCCAUUACUGAGAACGGAGGGGGAAACAGGCUGGAGUUACUGCUCCUGCUCCAGAGGAGGUCUUCAGAGAGAGAAGCUGAAG